UACGUCGGGGGCGAGCGUUGUCCGGAUUUAUUGGGCGUAAAGGGCGCGUAGGCGGGAUGGCAAGUCGGUCGUGAAAUCCUUCGGCUCAACCGAAGAACGUCGGCCGAUACUGCCGUUCUUGAGGGAUGCAGAGGAGAUUGGAAUUCCCGGUGUAGCGGUGAAAUGUGUAGAGAUCGGGAGGAACACCGGUGGCGAAGGCGGGUCUCUGGGCAUCUCCUGACGCUGAGGCGCGAAAGCGUGGGGAGCAAACGGG
rnacentral:rRNA from 1 species